GAUGAACGCUGGCGGCGUGCCUAAUACAUGCAAGUCGAGCGAACAGACGAGGAGCUUGCUCCUCUGACGUUAGCGGCGGACGUGUGAGUAACACGUGAAUAACCUACCUAUAAGACUGGGAUAACUUCGGGAAACCGGAGCUAAUACCGGAUAAUAUAUUGAACCGCAUGGUUCAAUAGUGAAAGACGGUUUUGCUGUCAUUUAUAGAUGGAUCCGCGCCGCAUUAGCUAGUUGGUAAGGUAACGGCUUACCAAGGCAACGAUGCGUAGCCGACCUGAGAGGGUGAUCGGCCACACUGGAACUGAGACACGGUCCAGACUCCUACGGGAGGCAGCAGUAGGGAAUCUUCCGCAAUGGGCGAAAGCCUGACGGAGCAACGCCGCGUGAGUGAUGAAGGUCUUCGGAUCGUAAGACUCUGUUAUUAGGGAAGAACAAAUGUGUAAGUAACUAUGCACGUCUUGACGGUACCUAAUCAGAAAGCCACGGCUAACUACGUG
rnacentral:rRNA from 1 species